GGGGUUGGAGAGCCGCAGCCAGCUGGCACGUGGAGUGACAACAGAGCUGCAGGUACAGCUACAAAAAGGAGGAAAAGAAAGCAAAUUUCCAUUGACAUGGGACAUUCUACCAACUGUGCGUGACAUGUACAGAGGCUAAAAAAGCAAUCACCAUCACAAGCAGAUAAGCCCCAGUUUUCUGAACAGCACUGAUCUGCAGAAAAUAAGAGAGAAGGAGAAGAAGAAGAAACAACUUUUUCUGCAGUCUUCACCAG